UACGGAGGGAGCUAGCGUUGUUCGGAAUUACUGGGCGUAAAGCGCACGUAGGCGGCUUUGUAAGUUAGAGGUGAAAGCCCGGGGCUCAACUCCGGAACUGCCUUUAAGACUGCAUCGCUUGAAUCCAGGAGAGGUGAGUGGAAUUCCGUGAGUGUAGAGGUGAAAUUCGUAGAUAUUCGGAAGAACACCAGUGGCGAAGGCGGCUCACUGGACUGGUAUUGACGCUGAG
rnacentral:rRNA from 1 species